rnacentral:rRNA from 1 species
UCCGGAGGGCGCAAUCGUUGUUCGGAAUUACUGGGCGUAAAGCGCGUGUAGGCGGCCAGGUAAGUCGGAUGUGAAAGCCCGGGGCCCAACCCCGGAACUGCACCCGAUACUGCCCGGCUGGAGUCCCGGAGAGGAUGGCGGAAUUUCCGGUGUAGAGGUGAAAUUCGUAGAUAUCGGAAGGAACACCAGUGGCGAAGGCGGCCAUCUGGACGGUGACUGACGCUGAGACGCGAAAGCGUGGGGAGAAAACAGG